AGCAACUUGGAGGAAUGUAUAGGGAAAACUGGUAAAAUGUGAUGUACCUAAUAGUAUUAGUGAUUAAUAUGAAAUUAACUAAGUUAAUUAAAAUUCGAAGUAGAUAUAUGAUUAUGACAAUAUUUGCUUAUUUCUUGACCAAGUCACGUGCCAGCAGUCGCGGUAAUACGUGGUAGAUCAGUGUUAUUCAUCUUUAAUAGGUUUAAAGGGUACCUAGACGGUUAAUUAAGCAUAUUUGUGUACUAAUUAUUAACUAGAGUUUAAUGUAAGAAGGAUUGAGUACGGUGAGUGUAGAGAUAAAAUUCUGUCAUACCACUUAGGAACUGGUAAAGGCGAAGGCAACCUUUUAUGUAAAAACUGACGUUAAGGGACGAAGGCUCGUAUUAAGUAAUAGGAUUAGAGACCCUAGUAUUGUGGGCAGACAAUGAUGAGUGUCAUAUGCAAGAUAAAUUUUGUGUAUAAAUGAAAGUGUAAGCACUCCACCUCAAGAGUAACGUGGCAACAUGGGAACUGAAAUCAUUAGACCGUUUCUGAAACUCGUAGUGAAGUAUGUUGUUUAAUUUGAUAAUCCACAAAUAACCUUACCACAAUUUGUAUUACUGGUAUAAAUAAGUAACUAGUAACAAGCGUUGCACGGCUGUCUUCAGUCAAUGUUGUGAAACUUUGGUUAGAUCCAUUAAAUUGACGUAAACCCUUGCUUUAUUUGUUAUAAAGUAGUUCGCCGCUAUAUUGGUAGUGAUAUAAGGGACUAAGACA
rnacentral:rRNA from 1 species